AUAUAUAUAUUGCAUGUUCUGAUUAUUCUGUCAAGAUUAUGAUAUUGUUUAUGCUGAGACCCUUCUCAAACAAACUCUUACUUCUGAGAAUGAAUCCCGUGAUUGUUUUCUUCUUCCAAGUUUUAAAAAGCCAAACACCUAAUUACUCUCAACUUUCUAUUUUGAUCCAUUCUUUCCAAUCCUCAAGAUUUUAAAAAUACCAGUUCUACAAAUUAAUUCGAAGUUCAGACCGUCAUUGAAGCAUGUGUUGCUCAGUGAUAGUUAGAGCCUAGAAUGAAAUGGGAUCUUCUUGAUUAUUUAACCCGCCAUUGUCAUGCUGGUUUAGCAGGCUAAAUUCAGUUGCUUAGCCGAUAAUGGAGGAUACUGAAUAGUUAGGAAUUUCCUGAACUAUGAUUUAUUAAAAGACAGACUGUGGUUUAUGAAAUGUUGAU
rnacentral:lncRNA from 1 species